AUUAUACUCCCUCCGUCCCAAAAUAAGUGUCUCAACUUUGUACUAACUCUAGUACAAAGUUGUACUAAGCUUGAGACACUUAUUUUGGGACGGAGGGAGUAUGUG
rnacentral:pre_miRNA from 1 species